GACGAACGCUGGCGGCGUGCUUAACACAUGCAAGUCGAACGGUAAGGCCCUUCGGGGUACACGAGUGGCGAACGGGUGAGUAACACGUGGGUGAUCUGCCCUGCACUUCGGGAUAAGCCUGGGAAACUGGGUCUAAUACCGGAUAGGACCACUGCCUGCAUGGGUGGUGGUGGAAAGCUUUUGCGGUGUGGGAUGGGCCCGCGGCCUAUCAGCUUGUUGGUGGGGGGAUGGCCUACCAGGGCGACGACGGGUAGCCGGCCUGAGAGGGUGACCGGCCACACUGGGACUGAGAUACGGCCCAGACUCCUACGGGAGGCAGCAGUGGGGAAUAUUGCACAAUGGGCGCAAGCCUGAUGCAGCGACGCCGCGUGAGGGAUGACGGCCUUCGGGUUGUAAACCUCUUUCAGCACCGACGAAGCGCAAGUGACGGUAGGUGCAGAAGAAGGACCGGCCAACUACGUGCCAGCCGCCGCCGUAA
rnacentral:rRNA from 1 species